UACCAUAACAUAACUUGUCCUGAAAAUAACUAAAAAUGCUGCAUACAGUGUACACAGCAUCAGCUGAAUGUGUGAGUAUGCUAUAAAGAGAUAAGGAUUAUGUGAAGCAAAAACUUGGCUUUACCUUGAAGAUAUUUGUUAAACCCAGGUAAUCUUGAACUACAGUUUUCAAGAUUUCACAUCAUGAGAAACAUAAAAUAAAGCCCAGAGCCAAGCCAAUAUGGACCUCUUACAGAUGAUUUUCCUACGGCUAGACAUGGCGCCAUCUUCUUGAUUAAUAUACAGGUAUGCAAAGAGAGAAGAAAGAAGAAUUUCACAGACGAGGUUUCCCCAAAAGCACAGAUCGGAACUGGCAAGUUCAGAGGAAAACAACAUUCAAAGAACAAGUCAAUUUAGGAAAUGUUCAUGGGAAAUAAACCACUCAUUUCAACAAAAAGGCACUUCAGUAUCCAAAAAAUCCUGAAAGCACAACCUCACUACUUAUUCUUUGAAUUUUAGAUGAUUGUGUUUUGAUAUCUAUUCCCCAAUCCCAUUUGACUUUUCCUUUUAGAACCAUGUUAACAUAUUUGAUACCUUGAACUCCUAGGAAUUGUUGUAUAAUAAUGUUUUGUAUAUAUUUUAAUAUGAAGUGCAUUGAUUUCUAACCUAAUAAUCUAUCAAGGUUACUGAUUUAUAAAAAUUUGAUUCAUUUAAAAAAUUAUUUUAUUCAUUCCACCCAGAGUUCUCACAAUAUAUUCAUGUUAUUUGCUGUACAUCUAGUUUGUUGCUUUUAAUUAAUACAGAGUACUCUAGAGUGGGUGCUCAAGUCAUUUUUACCUCACAACUCAAUUCCUGCUAUUAAUUAACAACAAAAUUAUUAACAUCCAAUAGUUUAUCUCAUAUAUGAUCAACCUGAUCUAAAGUCACACAAAUUUUACUAAUUCCCUGACAGGAUUUUUUUUUUUAAACUCCAAUCUUAAGCUUUCCACCUGAAUUAUCAAAAUAAAUGUUCUUUCACUUUCUAGUGAAGAAAUACUCAGAUAAAUUAGCAUUUUUUGUUCUGAAAUCUGAUUGUUGGCAAUCAACCUGUUUUGUUCAUAAAAGUAAACACCCUUCAGAGACACAGAGCAAUGUAAAACA